rnacentral:lncRNA from 1 species
CUUUGGUCUCCAACUAUACAUGUGCACUCAUAUACAUAUACACAUAUCUGAACACAUAUGCCAUAUAUGCAAGUAAAAUUAAGCAGGUGCUAUGUAGAAGGUUCUCAGUUUAUGAUGGCUCAACUUACAACUGCUGACUCCACAAUACAUCAGAAUGAUGGACAUUCAGUAGAAUCUCUACUUUGUGGUAUGGCCUCUUCCCAGCCCAGUGCCGUGGUAACGAAGGAGAUGUAGCUAUGGCUCCUACACAGCCACAAAACCACAAGGGGAGACAAUCAGAACUCUACACUGCUAUGUUAGGAAGAUGUGUCAAUGAAACUCAUGUCUUCAUGCUCACAAGGCAAGCAUUUCACCAACUGAACUGCACACCCAGGCCUUAGAGCAACUAUUAAUAGUGCUUCUGUUCUAACCUGCAAACCUUCUAAUUGGAUAAUAGAUGAUAUCUGGUCACUGUAUCUCUAGAAUAACCUAAUAGGAAAGGGACCAUUGAUGUGCCUGACUCUCUAACACCCAAUGUUACAACUGCUGGAUCAAAUAGUGAUUGCAGUGACUGGUGAAAAGACUCAGGCAUUUUGGCACCUAAAGAGCUUUUAUGUCCAGCAUGAUGGUCCAUGCCUAUAAUCUCAAUACUUGGGAGGCAGAGAGAGGAAGACUGCCGAAAGUUUGAAGCCAGCUUCAGCAAAAAGUAAAAAUGAACUCUGAGUAUCCCAGAUCCACAUAGACCCACUUCUGAAAUGGCUAUCUGCAUGACCACUGGGUUGGACCCAUCCACUGGAGCCUGGAGGAGGCAUCACUG